rnacentral:rRNA from 1 species
AAGUCUGAACGGAGCAACGCCGCGUGAGUGAUGAAGGCUUUCGGGUCGUAAACUCUGUUGUUAGGGAAGAACAAGUACAAGAGUAACUGCUUGUACCUUGACGGUACCUAACCAGAAAGCCACGGCUAACUACGUGCCAGCAGCCGCGGUAAUACGUAGGUGGCAAGCGUUAUCCGGAAUUAUUGGGCGUAAAGCGCGCGCAGGCGGUUUCUUAAGUCUGAUGUGAAAGCCCACGGCUCAACCGUGGAGGGUCAUUGGAAACUGGGGAACUUGAGUGCAGAAGAGAAAAGCGGAAUUCCACGUGUAGCGGUGAAAUGCGUAGAGAUGUGGAGGAACACCAGUGGCGAAGGCGGCUUUUUGGUCUGUAACUGACGCUGAGGCGCGAAAGCGUGGGGAGCAAACAGGAUUAGAUACCC